rnacentral:rRNA from 1 species
ACUCCUACGGGAGGCAGCAGUGGGGAAUAUUGCACAAUGGGGGGAAACCCUGAUGCAGCCAUGCCGCGUGUGUGAAGAAGGCCUUCGGGUUGUAAAGCACUUUCAGUAGGGAGGAAAGGUUGAUGGUUAAUACCUAUCAGCGUGACGUUACCCACAGAAGAAGCACCGGCUAACUCCGUGCCAGCAGCCGCGGUAAUACGGAGGGUGCAAGCGUUAAUCGGAAUUACUGGGCGUAAAGCGUGCGCAGGCGGUCUGUUAAGCGAGAUGUGAAAGCCCCGGGCUCAACCUGGGGAACUGCAUUUCGAAACUGGCAGACUAGAGUCUUGUAGAGGGGGGUAGAAUUCCAGGUGU